rnacentral:rRNA from 1 species
AUUGAACGCUGGCGGCAUGCCUUACACAUGCAAGUCGAACGGUAACAGGUCUCCGGAUGCUGACGAGUGGCGAACGGGUGAGUAAUACAUCGGAACGUGCCCGAGAGUGGGGGAUAACGAGGCGAAAGCUUUGCUAAUACCGCAUACGAUCUUAGGAUGAAAGCAGGGGACCGCAAGGCCUUGCGCUCACGGAGCGGCCGAUGGCAGAUUAGGUAGUUGGUGGGAUAAAAGCUUACCAAGCCGACGAUCUGUAGCUGGUCUGAGAGGACGACCAGCCACACUGGGACUGAGACACGGCCCAGACUCCUACGGGAGGCAGCAGUGGGGAAUUUUGGACAAUGGGCGCAAGCCUGAUCCAGCCAUGCCGCGUGCAGGAUGAAGGCCUUCGGGUUGUAAACUGCUUUUGUACGGAACGAAAAGACUCCUUCUAAUAAAGGGGGUCCAUGACGGUACCGUAAGAAUAAGCACCGGCUAACUACGUGCCAGCAGCCGCGGUAAAAC